GAUGAACGCUGGCGGCGUGCCUAAUACAUGCAAGUCGAGCGAACGGACGAGAAGCUUGCUUCUCUGAUGUUAGCGGCGGACGGGUGAGUAACACGUGGAUAACCUACCUAUAAGACUGGGAUAACUUCGGGAAACCGGAGCUAAUACCGGAAAUAAUUUUAAACGGAAGGGUUCAAAGGUGAAAGAGGGCUUGGCUGCAACUAAUAGAUGGAUCCGCGCUGCAUUAGCUAGUUGGUAAGGUAACGGCUUACCAAGGCAACGAUGCAUGGCCGACCUGAGAGGGUGAUCGGCCACACUAGAACUGAGACACGGUCCAGACUCCUACGGGAGGCAGCAGUAGGGAAUCUUCCGCAAUGGGCGAAAGCCUGACGGAGCAACGCCGCGUGAGUGAUGAAGGUCUUCGGAUCGUAAAACUCUGUUAUUAGGGAAGAACAUAUGUGUAAGUAACUGUGCACAUCUUGACGGUACCUAAUCAGAAAGCCACGGCUAACUACGUG
rnacentral:rRNA from 1 species